rnacentral:rRNA from 1 species
CCGCCUGGGGAGUACGGCCGCAAGGUUAAAACUCAAAUGAAUUGACGGGGGCCCGCACAAGCGGUGGAGCAUGUGGUUUAAUUCGAUGCAACGCGAAGAACCUUACCUACUCUUGACAUCCAGAGAACUUAGCAGAGAUGCUUUGGUGCCUUCGGGAACUCUGAGACAGGUGCUGCAUGGCUGUCGUCAGCUCGUGUUGUGAAAUGUUGGGUUAAGUCCCGCAACGAGCGCAACCCUUAUCCUUUGUUGCCAGCGAUUCGGUCGGGAACUCAAAGGAGACUGCCGGUGAUAAACCGGAGGAAGGUGGGGAUGACGUCAAGUCAUCAUGGCCCUUACGAGUAGGGCUACACACGUGCUACAAUGGCGUAUACAAAGAGAAGCGACCUCGCGAGAGCAAGCGGAACUCAUAAAGUACGUCGUAGUCCGGAUUGGAGUCUGCAACUCGACUCCAUGAAGUCGGAAUCGCUAGUAAUCGUAGAUCAGAAUGCUACGGUGAAUACGUUCCCGGGCCUUGUACACACCGCCCGUCACACCAUGGGAGUGGGUUGCAAAAGAAGUAGGUAGCUUAACCUUCGGGAGGGCGCUUACCACUUUGUGAUUCAUGACUGGGGUGAAGUCGUAACAAGGUAACCGUAGGGGAACCUGCGGUUGGAUCACCUCCUUA